GUGGUAGUGGGGGACUGCGUUCGCG
rnacentral:piRNA from 5 species